UCCUACGGGGCGCAGCAGUGGGGAAUAUUGCACAAUGGGGGAAACCCUGAUGCAGCAACGCCGCGUGAGUGAAGAAGUAUUUCGGUAUGUAAAGCUCUAUCAGCAGGGAAGAAGAUGACGGUACCUGAAUAAGAAGCCCCGGCUAACUACGUGCCAGCAGCCGCGGUAAUACGUAGGGGGCAAGCGUUAUCCGGAUUUACUGGGUGUAAAGGGAGCGCAGACGGCAGUGCAAGUCUGGAGUGGAAGCCCGG
rnacentral:rRNA from 1 species